GAUGAACGCUAGCUACAGGCUUAACACAUGCAAGUCGAGGGGCAGCACAGUGUAGCAAUACAUGGGUGGCGACCGGCGCACGGGUGCGUAACGCGUAUCCAACCUUCCCGUUACUCAGGGAUAGCCUUCCGAAAGGGAGAUUAAUACCUGAUGGUGUUGAAAUUCCGCAUGUUAUUUCAACUAAAGAUUUAUCGGUAACGGAUGGGGAUGCGUGACAUUAGGUAGAUGGCGGGGUAACGGCCCACCAUGCCUACGAUGUCUAGGGGUUCUGAGAGAAAGGUCCCCCACACUGGAACUGAGACACGGUCCAGACUCCUACGGGAGGCAGCAGUGAGGAAUAUUGGUCAAUGGUCGGAAGACUGAACCAGCCAAGUAGCGUGAAGGAUGAAGGUUCUAUGGAUUGUAAACUUCUUUUAUACGGGAAUAAAACCUCCCACGUGUGGGAGCUUGUAUGUACCGUAUGAAUAAGCAUCGGCUAACUCCGUGCCAGCAGCCGCCGUAACAC
rnacentral:rRNA from 1 species